rnacentral:rRNA from 1 species
UAGGGAAUCUUCCACAAUGGACGCAAGUCUGAUGGAGCAACGCCGCGUGAGUGAAGAAGGUUUUCGGACCGUAAAGCUCUGUUGUUGGUGAAGAAGGAUAGAGGUAGUAACUGGCCCUUUAUUUGACGGUAAUCAACCAGAAAGUCACGGCUAACUACGUGCCAGCAGCCGCGGUAAUCGUAGGUGGCAAGCGUUGUCCAGAUUUAUUGGGCGUAAAGCGAGCGCAGGCGGAAGAAUAAGUCUGAUGUGAAAGCCCUCGGCUUAACCGAGGAAUUGCAUCGGAAACUGUUUUCUUGAGUGCAGAAGAGGAGAGUAGAACUCCAUGUGUAGCGGUGGAAUGCGUAGAUAUAUGGAAGAAUACCAGUGGCGAAGGCGGCUCUCUGGUCUGCAACUGACGCUGAGGCUCGAAAGCAUGGGUAGCGAACAGGAUUAGAUACCCUGGUAGUCCAUGCCGUAAACGAUGAGUGCUAAGUGUUGG